rnacentral:tRNA from 2 species
AGAGUAUUAGGUUAUAUUGGAUAAAGAGAGGUUUUGAAAACCUUUUGUAAGUGUUCGAUUCACUUAUAAUCUU